rnacentral:sRNA from 1 species
CUGAACUUAUAACCGAGUUGUUGCUGGUCCCUCGAACAUGGGGGGGCACGUGCACACUCUGUUUAUAUAUCCACUCACACCUGUGCACACUCCAUAGUUCCUGUGGCUUUGGGGAGGGGGGGGGGUUCUGUUCUCCUCUCCUGCCUGCUACGGUUCUAUGCAUUCACACAUAUACGCUGUAGUGAAGUUUUAUGGAAAAGAUGUCGCGUUUAACGCAAUACAAUACAACUUUCAGCAACGGAUCUCUUGGCUCUCGCAUCGAUGAAGAACGCAGCGAAAUGCGAUAAGUAAUGUGAAUUGCAGAAUUCAGUGAAUCAUCGAAUCUUUGAACGCACCUUGCGCCCUUUGGCUAUUCCGAAGGGCAUACCUGUUUGAGUAUCAUGAACAUCCUCAACUCCUCAUGGGCUUACCAUGAUGGGCUUGGACUUUGGAGGCCUUGCUGGCUUGUGGGUCAGCUCCUCUCAAAUGAAUCAGCUUACCAGUGUUUGGUGGUGUCCUGGGUGUGAUAACUAUCUACGCUCAUGGCUUUCUGCUGGGUAACCUUCAUGGCUGAAGGUAUGGCUGGGGCUUACAAAUGUCUCUCCUCGGUGAAGACAGUUCUGAAC